UAGGGAAUCUUCCACAAUGGGCGCAAGCCUGAUGGAGCAACACCGCGUGAGUGAAGAAGGGUUUCGGCUCGUAAAGCUCUGUUGUUAAAGAAGAACACGUAUGAGAGUAACUGUUCAUACGUUGACGGUAUUUAACCAGAAAGUCACGGCUAACUACGUGCCAGCAGCCGCGGUAAUACGUAGGUGGCAAGCGUUAUCCGGAUUUAUUGGGCGUAAAGAGAGUGCAGGCGGUUUUCUAAGUCUGAUGUGAAAGCCUUCGGCUUAACCGGAGAAGUGCAUCGGAAACUGGAUAACUUGAGUGCAGAAGAGGGUAGUGGAACUCCAUGUGUAGCGGUGGAAUGCGUAGAUAUAUGGAAGAACACCAGUGGCGAAGGCGGCUACCUGGUCUGCAACUGACGCUGAGACUCGAAAGCAUGGGUAGCGAACAGGAUUAGAUACCCUGGUAGUCCAUGCCGUAACGAUGAGUGCUAGGUGUUGGAGGGUUUCCGCCCUUCAGUGCCGGAGCUAACGCAUUANCACUCCGCCUGGGGAGUACGACCGCAAGGU
rnacentral:rRNA from 1 species